CGGUGGAUCACUUGGCUCGUGGGUCGAUGAAGAACGCAGCUAAUUGCGCGUCAACUUGUGCAACUGCAGGACACAUGAACAUCGACAUCUUCGAACGCACAUUGCGGUCCA
rnacentral:rRNA from 1 species